rnacentral:snRNA from 1 species
GUGCUCGCUUCGGCAGCACAUAUACUAAAAUUGGAACAAUACAGGGAAGAUUAGCAUGGCCCCUGCACAAGGAUGACACGCAAAUUUUUUAAGCGUUCCAUAUUUUU